UAGAAGUUUCUCUGAGCGGUUAUCACACAGGCGCUACAGAAGCCCACCAAGAGGCAGAAGCCCCUCGAGAUACAGGAAUCGUAGAAGCCGAAGCAGGAGCAUUUCUCGUAGUCCUGGCAGUUAUCGUGGCCAUUACAAGGAUCAAAGCCGGAGCCAGAGUCCAAUUCGCAGUCCUAGUCCCAGAGACAAGCGACCUGCCAUAAGCAUGGGUCUGAAGUCUCGUCUGGGUGCCAGAAUUGAUGAUCAGCACUCUUUGGACAAAGGGAUAUUGAGGUCAAGGUCCAGUUCUAGGUCUAGGAGCCGUGGAUUCUCUCCUUCCAGAUCUCCUAAUGCUGUACCACCAAAGCAUCGCAGCAAGCCUGCCAGCAGGUCUAGAUCGAGCUCGCCCUCUGGACAGAGGGGUUUGGUUUCAUAUGGGGACCUCAGUCCUGAUUCAGGAACAAAGUAGCUUGGAGAGUAAUUUUGCUUGUGGAAAGUACACAAUUCUCCUCAAUACUCAAAUGAAAUUGGCCAGUAUUUUGAGUGAGCUUAUCCAUCUGAAUUACAUUGCAGUGUGAGUUGAACAGCGUGGACUUGUGUGUCAAUUUUCA
rnacentral:misc_RNA from 1 species